ACUCUAUGGUAUUUCGUUCAAGGCCCAAAUGUGCUGUGUGUUUCCUCCGUAAUAAAUUAAUCAUGGCGGGAAGGUAUCGACUAUCAAAGCAAAAUAGUAGGUGCGACAAUCGAGACGCAGCCAGCUAUUGUUCUUGAGUCAACCUACCCGCUUAGAGUUGAAACCGAGUGCUGUCGAGCAGUGUCUUUCGUUAGUCCUAAACGUGUUUCAUCAAUGCAGUACCUACGGGAGGAUUUGUUAUGUAAUUAGUUUAACGUAUACACGCGUGGCUUUGCAGAUGCUUUUGAUUUACAAGUAGCUAAAGCUUAAACUAUGGAUGCACGGAUGUACGGUAGGUUCCCGGUUCGAUUGCCGGAAGGGUUAAUCGAAAGUUAAGAAAGGCAACGAUUUUUGAUUAGUCCUGAGACUGAAUAGCAUACCAUAAAUAUUCUAAUCUUACCUAUAAUAAUAAAUGUCUUUAAAGUACUUAAUGUAA